UACAGAGGGGGGCAAGCGUUAUUCGGAAUUAUUGGGCGUAAAGGGCGCGUAGGCGGCCUGGCAAGUGGAUGGUGAAAUCCCUCGGCUUAACCGAGGAACUGCCAUCCAGACUGCUUGGCUUGAGACCGGGAGAGGUGAGUGGAAUUCCUGGUGUAGCGGUGAAAUGCGCAGAUAUCAGGAGGAACACCGAUUGCGAAGGCAGCUCGCUGGAACGUUACUGACGCUGAGACGCGAAAGCGUGGGGAGCAAACAGG
rnacentral:rRNA from 1 species